rnacentral:rRNA from 1 species
UACGGGGGGAGCAAGCGUUGUUCGGAUUUACUGGGCGUAAAGGGCGCGUAGGCGGCGUGACAAGUCACUUGUGAAAUCUCCGGGCUUAACUCGGAACGGUCAAGUGAUACUGUCGUGCUAGAGUACAGAAGGGGCAACUGGAAUUCUCGGUGUAGCGGUGAAGUGCGUAGAUAUCGAGAGGAACACCUGCGGCGAAGGCGGGUUGCUGGGCUGAUACUGACGCUGAGACGCGAAAGCGUGGGGAGCGAACAGG